UUUUAUGUUCCAAAAUUUUCUCAUCCUUUCUCAAGAUUAUCAAGUCCAUGUAAUAUUUUUUUGACAAAAAUGUCAAAUUUUUAUUGCUAAAAACACAAUAUUACAAGAUCUGAAAUUAAGCAUUAAAAACACUUCAUCUUCACUCAUCAUCCUUUGAUAGCUUAAUCACCUGAAAUUAUUAAUUAAAAUAAUGCAAUAUUAGACANNNN
rnacentral:lncRNA from 1 species